UAUUUGGUGUGCGAGCGUUAAUCGGAAUAACUGGGCGUAAAGGGCACGCAGGCGGACUUUUAAGUGAGGUGUGAAAUCCCCGGGCUUAACCUGGGAAUUGCAUUUCAUACUGGGAGUCUAGAGUACUUUAGGGAGGGGUAGAAUUCCACGUGUAGCGGUGAAAUGCGUAGAGAUGUGGAGGAAUACCGAAGGCGAAGGCAGCCCCUUGGGAAUGUACUGACGCUCAUGUGCGAAAGCGUGGGGAGCAAACAGG
rnacentral:rRNA from 1 species